GCCCAAACCUGGGCCUUUGAUACACCUGUGGAUACGUCGUCGCCUCGAUCAUGGGAUCCAGCACGCGCCAUCUCGGCAUGCUUCGGUACGUACGUGCUUUGGGCGUCGGCCUGCGGGCUCUCCAUUCGGCCCGUCUUGAAACACGGACAAAGGAUUCUGACAUGAGUGCGAGUCAACGGGCUAGAAAACCCGUAAGGCCUAAGGAAGCUGAUUGGCGGGAUCCCUCACGGGUGCACCGC
rnacentral:ncRNA from 1 species